GGAUUAGAUACCCUGGUAGUCCAUGCCGUAAACGUUGGGCACUAGGUGUGGGGCUCAUUCCACGAGUUCCGUGCCGCAGCAAACGCAUUAAGUGCCCCGCCUGGGGAGUACGGCCGCAAGGCUAAAACUCAAAGGAAUUGACGGGGGCCCGCACAAGCGGCGGAGCAUGCGGAUUAAUUCGAUGCAACGCGAAGAACCUUACCAAGGCUUGACAUGCACGGGAAGCCACCAGAGAUGGUGGUCUCUUUGGACACUCGUGCACAGGUGGUGCAUGGUUGUCGUCAGCUCGUGCCG
rnacentral:rRNA from 1 species